UGCAGGCUGCAACUCGCCUGCAUGAAGCUGGAAUCGCUAGUAACUGCAGAUCAGAGUGCUGCGGUGAAUACGUUCUCGGGUCUUGUACACACCGCCCGUCACACCAUGGAAGCCAGGAACACCCAGAGUCCCGAUUCGUCGGGAUGAAGGUGGUAUUGGUGACUGGGGUGAAGUCAAUUAUGGCUUCCUACAGGAGUAAUCCUGUAGUAAAAUCUAACUGUAU
rnacentral:rRNA from 1 species